rnacentral:rRNA from 1 species
UACGAAGGGAGCUAGCGUUGCUCGGAAUCACUGGGCGUAAAGGGUGCGUAGGCGGGUCUUUAAGUCAGGGGUGAAAUCCUGGAGCUCAACUCCAGAACUGCCUUUGAUACUGAAGAUCUUGAGUUCGGGAGAGGUGAGUGGAACUGCGAGUGUAGAGGUGAAAUUCGUAGAUAUUCGCAAGAACACCAGUGGCGAAGGCGGCUCACUGGCCCGAUACUGACGCUGAGGCACGAAAGCGUGGGGAGCAAACAGG